rnacentral:rRNA from 2 species
UGGGGAAUCUUAGACAAUGGGCGCAAGCCUGAUCUAGCCAUGCCGCGUGAGCGAUGAAGGCCUUAGGGUUGUAAAGCUCUUUCAGUGGGGAAGAUAAUGACUGUACCCACAGAAGAAGCCCCGGCUAACUCCGUGCCAGCAGCCGCGGUAAUACGGAGGGGGCUAGCGUUGUUCGGAAUUACUGGGCGUAAAGCGCACGUAGGCGGAUGGACAAGUCAGAGGUGAAAUCCCAGGGCUCAACCUUGGAACUGCCUUUGAAACUUUCCAUCUUGAGGUCGAGAGAGGUGAGUGGAAUUCCGAGUGUAGAGGUGAAAUUCGUAGAUAUUCGGAGGAACACCAGUGGCGAAGGCGGCUCACUGGCUCGAUACUGACGCUGAGGUGCGAAAGCGUGGGGAGCAAACAGG